rnacentral:rRNA from 1 species
UACGAAGGGUGCAAGCGUUAAUCGGAAUUACUGGGCGUAAAGGGUGCGUAGGCGGUUGUUUAAGUCUGCCGUGAAAUCCCCGGGCUCAACCUGGGAAUGGCGGUGGAUACUGGAUAGCUAGAGUGUGUCAGAGGAUGGUGGAAUUCCCGGUGUAGCGGUGAAAUGCGUAGAGAUCGGGAGGAACAUCAGUGGCGAAGGCGGCCAUCUGGGACAACACUGACGCUGAAGCACGAAAGCGUGGGGAGCAAACAGGG